CAAUAGCGUAUAUUAAAGUUGUUGCAGUUAAAAAGCUCGUAGUUGGAUUUCUGGUGGGAGCGAUCGGUCUGGCGCUUAGCGCGUGUACUUGCAUCGUCUCCGGCCAUCCUUGGGGAGAGUCUGUCUGGCAUUAGGUUGUCGGGCAGAGGAUCCUCAUCGUUUACUGUGAAAAAAUUAGAGUGUUCAAAGCAGGCUUAUGCCGUUGAAUAUAUUAGCAUGGAAUAAUAAGAUAGGACUUUGGUACUAUUUUGUUGGUUUGCGCACCAAAGUAAUGAUUAAUAGGGACAGUUGGGGGUAUUCGUAUUCCGUUGUCAGAGGUGAAAUUCUUGGAUUUACGGAAGACGAACUACUGCGAAAGCAUUUACCAAGGAUGUUUUCAUUAA
rnacentral:rRNA from 1 species